rnacentral:rRNA from 1 species
AUGGGCGAAAGCCUGAUGCAGCGACGCCGCGUGAGGGAUGACGGCCUUCGGGUUGUAAACCUCUUUCAGCAGGGAAGAAGCGAAAGUGACGGUACCUGCAGAAGAAGCGCCGGCUAACUACGUGCCAGCAGCCGCGGUAAUACGUAGGGCGCGAGCGUUGUCCGGAAUUAUUGGGCGUAAAGAGCUCGUAGGCGGCUUGUCACGUCGGUUGUGAAAGCCCGGGGCUUAACCCCGGGUCUGCAGUCGAUACGGGCAGGCUAGAGUUCGGUAGGGGAGAUCGGAAUUCCUGGUGUAGCGGUGAAAUGCGCAGAUAUCAGGAGGAACACCGGUGGCGAAGGCGGAUCUCUGGGCCGAUACUGACGCUGAGGAGCGAAAGCGUGGGGAGCGAACAGGAUUAGAUACCCUGGUAGUCCACGCCGUAAACGGUGGGCACUAGGUGUGGGCGACAUUCCACGUCGUCCGUGCCGCAGCUAACGCAUUAAGUGCCCCGCCUG